GGCCUAGGUUGGGGUGGUGCUGGGAGGAUACUGAAGCCUCUAACUACUGCUCUGGGAUCAGGUCUCGGGGCCAGUGGCGACUCGGACUCGGACUCAUCACCAGGGACUUGAGACUGGCGGGUUAGUGACUCGACUACAUCACUGUGUCUGACUUCAACUGUUCGAGGUCCUGUCUGACCCCAUGACCUGUGGUUUUGGGGGAACUGAGGUCCUGUCUGACCCCAGGACCUGUGGUUUUGGGGGAACUGAGGUCCUGUCUGACCCCAGGACCUGUGGUUUUGGGGGAACUGAGGUCCUGUCUGACCCCAGGAUCUGUGGUUUUGGGGGAACUGAGGUCCUGUCUGACCCCAGGACCUGUGGUUUUGGGGGAACUGAGGUCCUGUCUGACCCCAGGACCUGUGGUUUUGGGGGAACUGAGGUCCUGUCUGACCCCAGGACCUGUGGUUUUGGGGGAAUUGAGGUCCUGUCUGACCCCAGGAACUGUGGUUUUGGGGGAACUGAGGUCCUGUCUGAUCCCAGGACCUGUGGUUUUGGGGGAACUGAGGUCCUGUCUGACCCCAGGACCUGUGGUUUUGGGGGAACUCUUGUUUAACUGUUGUUGUUUUUUGUUGUUGUGAAAACUGAAACUAUGUAAAACUACAAAAGAACAAACAAAACAGGAUCAUACCUGGAGGAGCAGAGAGAGAGAGACAAGAGUGAUUAGUGAAGCAGUUUAAAUACCCUGAGCCCAGGUGGCUCCAAUCACUAACGACCCUCCUCCGCCUGCAGGAGGAACCGCCCCUCCUGCAGGGGUCGUGACAUUAUCCCUGACAAGUUAUUUUUUUGUUUUUUAAUUCUUAUUUCAGUUCACAAUAGAAGAAAAACAAUACAAGUCGAUAACAAGUAUUUCCGUUCUCCGUCUAUAGAUGUUAAAAGUGAUCUUUUUGUAAAGGUAUUCUAGCUCAGGUUUGUCUGUUUCCUUUGUUAAAUAAAUGUUGCCCAACCACUUACAGUGUGCCUGAACAUAAUUCAUAAAUAAAUAAAGGUUGCCCAACAGUG